AUUGAACGCUGGCGGCAUGCCUUACACAUGCAAGUCGAGCGGCAGCGCGGGGCAACCUGGCGGCGAGUGGCGAACGGGUGAGUAAUGCAUCGGAACAUGUCCAUUCGUGGGGGAUAGCCCGGCGAAAGCCGGAUUAAUACCGCAUACGCCCGAGAGGGGAAAGUGGGGGGACCGCAAGGCCUCACGCGAUUGGGUUGGCCGAUGUCCGAUUAGCUAGUUGGCGGGGUAAGAGCCCACCAAGGCGAUGAUCGGUAGCUGGUCUGAGAGGAUGAUCAGCCACACUGGGACUGAGACACGGCCCAGACUCCUACGGGAGGCAG
rnacentral:rRNA from 1 species